GCCGGCCCCGUUGCUCCCUGCUGCAGGCGCCGCCGCCGCCAUGUCCAAGUCGGGAGCCCUGGAUCUCGCGUCGGGCCUUGGCGGGAAGAUCGACAAGGAACAAGUCAAAUCCGCGGUCGACGAGUACGUCUCUCUCUCUCCCUCCCUUGCCGUUGGCAUGAUCCAUUCCUGCAAAACUUCUUUUUUUAAGAUCGACAAGAAACUGUGGGGCGCUCGAUGAUGUUUUCUCUUUUUGAAAUAAACAAGACACCUUUCAUGCUCCCUGUGUUCUACAGACUUGGAUACAGUGAGUCAGUCACCUGAUCGGAGAGGGAAUUUCGGUUGGGUUUCAAUCAGGAGAAGGGGGGAUUGGGGAUACAGUUAGCACCUACUCCAGAAUACCGGCUAGAUCUUUUCCUAGUAGUACACCAGAUCCAGGGAGUAUUAUUUGGGGCUUCACAUCAGAAAAGCAUGGUGUUCCUUCUGUGUAUUUUGCCGCAUAGAGAAGGUUGUGGAGGAAAUGUACGUAGGUAUGAAAUCUAUACAAUUUGCAUAUGAUUUCUUGAUGUAUAUCUGGGACUUAAGGCAUGAUUUUGGCUGUUUCUUAGACAUUGAGUUAUAAAUGAAUUCCGGCAUUGUUGUAGAUUUUGUAUCAUAUACCUACAGGUUGUGGUAGAUAAUACGUGAUAAAUGAAGGACUCAUAGACUUCUCCGGUCAAAAGACAAACUGAUGUUGUAUUCCUUCACCCCAUCCAUUUUGAGGCCAUGAAAAUUUAUCUUUUCAAGGCAGACUUGCUCAGUAUAAGGAGGAACCUAAGCAGGGACGACACCUGGGUCGGAUCCGAUGGAUUGGUGUCUGACUGCAGAAUUGCUUAUAGCUAUUUAUAUAUGGA
rnacentral:lncRNA from 1 species